AACGCACCUUGCGCUCCUUGGUAUUCCGAGGAGCAUGCCUGUUUGAGUGUCAUGAAAUUCUCAACCUAACAAGUUUGUAACGAGCUUGCUUAGGCUUGGACUUGGAGGCUUUGCCGGCUUGCAUCUGCAUAGUCGACUCCUCUUAAAUGCAUUAGCUUGGUUCCUCUGCGGAUCGGCUCACGGUGUGAUAAUUGUCUACGCCGCGACCGUUGAAGCGUUUUAUAGGCCAGCUUCUAAUCGUCUUCUUAUGCGAGACAAUUACUUCGAACUCUGACCUCAAAUCAGGCAGGACUACCCGCUGAACUUAA
rnacentral:misc_RNA from 1 species